AGAUAGGUUCCACUAAGUUUCCUAACUGCUAAUGUAGGGGUUUUAAAGGGGGAAGAGGUAGGGCAAAGGAGGUUUUUCCUUAAGAGAUCAGAGGUGAUAUACUUAAGGCCCCUGAGGCUCUGGAGUGAAAGCAGGUAUUGAGGUUGGGUGAUGUACCUGGUAGAAUUCAGUAAUUGCUUGACAACAGGAGAAUGUUUAGCAGCAGAGGGGUUCUGGACAUCCCUGACAAGGAGGUCUACUUGAGAAGCUGGCCAGAAGUCAACUUGCAUUAGAAAAUGUGCUAUUACCAAGAAGCAUGUCACCAAGACAACCGAAUAGAACUGUCCAGAGUAUGUCCUUCUGCAGAAAUAUCAAUUGAGACAACUAUCCAGGCAUGAAAUACCUUCAUAAGAACUAAACAAAACAGAACCAUCCCUUUAUUCUUCUUCUUUCCCCUACAAUGAAGUGAUUCUUUACAACAUCCUGUGCUCCUUUUAAAGCCCAUUGGUUCCUUGUGGUGCUGUCAGAAUGUACAUGAGGAACGUCUACUGAAGAAAGGAAAGCCUCUCAGAAGCCAAAUACCUGAAGAAAACUCACUCUGCCUCUCAUAAGAAUCCAUCAGUGGCCAAUAUCACCUCAGUGUUUCCACAGGACGUAUCCCAGAUGAUUGAGUCGGGGGAAAGUCUACAAAAGUUUGGAUGUUGAUUAUUUCCUAAUAUCCCAGAAAUGAGAGGAAAGCCUAAACAUGAUCUAGGAUUAAGGAUACCAGCUUUUGCAGAAGAACUAAAACAACUACCCAUGUCUAAACAAGCAACUACUAGACUCUUGGGCUUCCCAUUCACAACUGCCCAUUGUUGGGUUAGCUGGACUACUGACUAGUCACCAGCCAACAAACAGGCAUUAAAUUCACCAUCCUAAGGAAAUUAUUCAUACUCAAAACAUAACAGCCAAAAGUCAUGCACUUGAAGACUUCUGUCUCUACUCCUCUAUUCUACGGAUAAAGUGAAACCAUAACUUUCAGGAAAAGAAAACAUGAGAAUGUAGAUUACAAAAGUCGGAACUGACAAAAUACAUAAAGACCAUGGGAUGGAAUUUACAUUUUGAGGAUGGCAGAGUAAUGAAUCAGAAAGAGCCUUUGACACCAACGACUCACAGGAAGUCCCAACAUGUCUCCUUAAUAUCUUCAUAGUGGUCAUAUCAUUUGAAUAUGAAGAAGAAAAAGAGCAGGUGGAGGUAUUCAACCAUGCCGUCAAUCAACUAUGCAAUGCAACUAUGCAAUGACCAAUUAAAAGAAUAAGAAAUCUAAAUGAAUAGAUCUUUUAUUAUUAAUUUCAUUUAAUACUGGUUAAGCAAGAGAGACAGUUGAAUUAGGGUUUUUAA
rnacentral:sRNA from 1 species